rfam:Triticum aestivum genome assembly, contig: Triticum_aestivum_CS42_TGACv1_scaffold_623240_7DS
GGAGUACUCCCUCCGUCCCAAAAUAUUUGUCGGAGAAAUGCAUAAAACCGAAUGUAUCUAAAACUAAAAUACGUUUAGAUACAUCCAUUCCUCCGACAAGUAUUUUGGGACAGAGGGAGUACUAU